AGAUGCCUGCGGCUGUGAUUUACAGAGUUCUACUAACAUUGCCAUGAGUGUUGCUUUGGCCUUAAGCUUGAUUCUCUUAGUUUUUCUUACAUACUACUUCAAGACAAAAGGAUGUCUUUGCUGCAAAGCUUGUCCACAAACCCUUGAUGAAACAUCUAAUAAUGUGCAGCAGAGAGAGGAGGAGACUCUGGUUUAUUCUGUGCCAACCAUCGUCACCAGAAAAAGCGGCAAAUCGAAUCAGACCGAAGGGGAAUUUAGCACAUAUACUGACGUCAGACGUCGGGAUUCCUAACAUGACAAAAUUGAUCUGUCGGCUUCUACAGUGAAAGAAUCGUAUCUGGCAAACGUUAACUUGGAUCUAAAAGAAUAACUAUAUUUACU